ensembl:snoRNA Small nucleolar RNA SNORA5
UGUUGUCCUGCCAUCUUUUCUUCUUCCUUUUUCCAAUCUCUUUUGUGUGUGUGUGUGUGCAUGAGCGUGCAGCCCUGGAAGAAGAGCUAGAUGGCAACUAGAACAAUAUGGCAGUUCAUCAUCUCUGAUUUAUUGCAUUGGAGUGUGCUACUAGGAAAUAUUUUGAUUGCAGACAAUG